UGCUAUACUGCAGUCGAACGCUUCUUUUUCCACCGGAGCUUGCUCCACCGGAAAAAGAGGAGUGGCGAACGGGUGAGUAACACGUGGGUAACCUGCCCAUCAGAAGGGGAUAACACUUGGAAACAGGUGCUAAUACCGUAUAACAAUCAAAACCGCAUGGUUUUGAUUUGAAAGGCGCUUUCGGGUGUCGCUGAUGGAUGGACCCGCGGUGCAUUAGCUAGUUGGUGAGGUAACGGCUCACCAAGGCCACGAUGCAUAGCCGACCUGAGAGGGUGAUCGGCCACAUUGGGACUGAGACACGGCCCAAACUCCUACGGGAGGCAGCAGUAGGGAAUCUUCGGCAAUGGACGAAAGUCUGACCGAGCAACGCCGCGUGAGUGAAGAAGGUUUUCGGAUCGUAAAACUCUGUUGUUAGAGAAGAACAAGGAUGAGAGUAACUGUUCAUCCCUUGACGGUAUCUAACCAGAAAGCCACGGCUAACUACGUGCCAGCAGCCGCGGUAAUACGUAGGUGGCAAGCGUUGUCCGGAUUUAUUGGGCGUAAAGCGAGCGCAGGCGGUUUCUUAAGUCUGAUGUGAAAGCCCCCGGCUCAACCGGGGAGGGUCAUUGGAAACUGGGAGACUUGAGUGCAGAAGAGGAGAGUGGAAUUCCAUGUGUAGCGGUGAAAUGCGUAGAUAUAUGGAGGAACACCAGUGGCGAAGGCGGCUCUCUGGUCUGUAACUGACGCUGAGGCUCGAAAGCGUGGGGAGCAAACAGGAUUAGAUACCCUGGUAGUCCACGCCGUAAACGAUGAGUGCUAAGUGUUGGAGGGUUUCCGCCCUUCAGUGCUGCAGCUAACGCAUUAAGCACUCCGCCUGGGGAGUACGACCGCAAGGUUGAAACUCAAAGGAUUUGACGGGGGCCCGCACAAGCGGUGGAGCAUGUGGUUUAAUUCGAAGCAACGCGA
rnacentral:rRNA from 1 species